GACGAACGCUGGCGGCGUGCUUAACACAUGCAAGUCGAACGGACCUGUUUUUGAAGCGCUUCGGCGUGGAGGGAGCGGGUUAGUGGCGCACGGGUGAGUAAUGCGCGAGGACCUGCCCGCGGGAGGGGGACAGCAGUUGGAAACGGCUGGUGAUACCCCGUAAGCCGGGAGGUGAAAGGGCGGAGACGCCCGCCUGCGGAUGGACUCGCGUCCUAUCAGCUAGUUGGUGAGGCAACGGCUCACCAAGGCGACGACGGGUAGCCGGCCUGAGAGGGUGUCCGGCCACACUGGAACUGAGACACGGUCCAGACUCCUACGGGAGGCAGCAGUGGGGAAUUUUGGGCAAUGGGGAGACCCUGACCCAGCGACGCCGCGUGAGGGACGAAGGCCCUUGGGUCGUAAACCUCUUUUGCAGGGGAAGAAGUAGAUGACGGCACCUUGCGAAUAAGUCCCGGCUAACUACGUG
rnacentral:rRNA from 1 species